UACGUAGGGUGCAAGCGUUGUCCGGAAUUAUUGGGCGUAAAGAGCUCGUAGGCGGUCUGUCGCGUCGGAUGUGAAAACCCAGGGCUCAACCCUGGGCCUGCAUUCGAUACGGGCAGGCUAGAGUUCGGUAGGGGAGACUGGAAUUCCUGGUGUAGCGGUGAAAUGCGCAGAUAUCAGGAGGAACACCGGUGGCGAAGGCGGGUCUCUGGGCCGAAACUGACGCUGAGGAGCGAAAGCGUGGGGAGCAAACAGG
rnacentral:rRNA from 1 species